UACGAGGGGGCAAGCGUUGUUCGGAUUAUUGGGCGUAAAGGGUGCGUAGGCGGUUGGCAAGUCUUGUGUGGAAAUCUUUGGGCUCAACCCAAAGCCUGCACAAGAAACUGCCGGGCUUGAGUAUGGGAGAGGUGAGUGGAAUUCCGGUGUAGCGGUAGAAAUGCGUAGAUAUCGGAAGGAACACCUGUGGCGAAAGCGGCUCACUGGACCAUACUGACGCUGAGGCACGAAAGCUAGGGAGCAAACAGG
rnacentral:rRNA from 1 species